CAGCUUGUAGUUUAAUAAAAACGUUCGGUUUGGAACUGAGAAUUGCUUUAGGGGUCGGGCUGA
rnacentral:tRNA from 1 species